rnacentral:rRNA from 1 species
GUAGUCCACGCCGUAAACUAUGAAUGCUCGGUGUCGCCCUCAUGUGGGGGCGGUGCCUAAGCUAACGCGUUAAGCAUUCCACCUGGGGAGUACGUUCGCAAGAAUGAAACUCAAAGGAAUUGACGGGGGCCCGCACAAGCGGUGGAGCAUGUGGAUUAAUUCGAUGCAACGCGAAGAACCUUACCCAGGCUCGAACGCUACGGGACAGCCCCUGAAAGGGGGUCUUCUUCGGACCCGUAGUGAGGUGCUGCAUGGCUGUCGUCAGUUCGUGUCGUGAGAUGUUGGGUUAAGUCCCGCAACGAACGCAACCCUUGUCGUUAGUUACCAGCGAGUCAUGUCGGGGACUCUAACGAAACUGCCUGCGCAAGCAGUGA